rnacentral:rRNA from 1 species
CUACGGGAGGCUGCAGUCGAGAAUCAUUUGCAAUGGGCGAAAGCCUGACAAUGCGACGCUGCGUGGAGGAUGACGGCCCUAGGGUUGUAAACUCCUGUCGGGAGGGAAAAAUUGGUACCUGGUGAAUAGCCGGGGGUCUUGAUGGUACCUUCAGAGGAAGCCACGGCUAACUCUGUGCCAGGCAGCCGCGGUAAUACAGAGGUGGCGAGCGUUGUUCGGAUUUACUGGGCGUAAAGGGUGCGUAGGCGGUUAAGUAAGUUGGAUGUGAAAGCCCAUGGCCCAACCAUGGAACUGCAUUUGAUACUGCUUGACUAGAGUGCAGGAGGGGAGAGCGGAAUUCUUGGUGUAGCGGUGAAAUGCGUUGAUAUCAAGAAGAACACCGGUGGCGAAGGCGGCUCUCUGGAAUGUUACUGACGCUGAGGCACGAAAGCUGGGGGAGCAAACAGGAUUAGAUACCCGGGUAGUC